AUUGAACGCUGGCGGCAUGCUUUACACAUGCAAGUCGAACGGCAGCGCGGGCUUCGGCCUGGCGGCGAGUGGCGAACGGGUGAGUAAUGCAUCGGAACGUGCCAGUAGUGGGGGGUAGCCCGGCGAAAGCCGGAUUAAUACCGCAUACGACCUGAGGGUGAAAGCGGGGGACCGAAAGGCCUCGCGCUAUUGGAGCGGCCGAUGUCGGAUUAGCUAGUUGGUGGGGUAAAGGCUUACCAAGGCGACGAUCCGUAGCUGGUCUGAGAGGACGACCAGCCACACUGGGACUGAGACACGGCCCAGACUCCUACGGGAGGCAGCAGUGGGGAAUUUUGGACAAUGGGGGCAACCCUGAUCCAGCCAUGCCGCGUGCGGGAAGAAGGCCUUCGGGUUGUAAACCGCUUUUGUUCGGGAAGAAAUCCUCUGGGCUAAUACCCCGGGGGGAUGACGGUACCGGAAGAAUAAGCACCGGCUAACUACGUG
rnacentral:rRNA from 1 species